GACGAACGCUGGCGGCGUGCCUAAUACAUGCAAGUAGGACGCAGUUGCGAACGGGUGAGUAACGCGUAGGUAACUACCUAUUAGAGGGGGAUAACUAUUGGAAACGAUAGCUAAUACCGCAUACUAGUAGAUGGACCUGCGUUGUAUUAGCUAGUAGGUAGGGUAAUGGCCUACCUAGGCAACGAUACAUAGCCGACCUGAGAGGGUGAACGGGCACACUGGGACUGAGGAAAGGCCCAGAAUCCUACGGGAAGCAGCAGUAGGGAAACAGCGGCAAAGGGGGGAACCCUGACCGCGCAAAGGCGCGUGAGAGAAGAAGGUUUUCGGAUCGUAAAGCUCUGUUGUUAAGGGAGCGGUACUUGAACAGGAAGGGACGGCUAACUACGUGCCAGCAGCCGCGGUAAUAC
rnacentral:rRNA from 1 species